rnacentral:misc_RNA from 1 species
GAUGAAGAACGUAGCGAAAUGCGAUAAGUAGUGUGAAUUGCAGAAUUCAGUGAAUCAUCGAAUCUUUGAACGCACAUUGCGCCCCUUGGUAUUCCAUGGGGCAUGCCUGUUCGAGCGUCAUUUGUACCUUCAAGCUUUGCUUGGUGUUGGGUGUUUGUCUCGCCUUUGCGUGUAGACUCGCCUUAAAAUAAUUGGCAGCCGGCGUAUUGAUUUCGGAGCGCAGUACAUCUCGCGCUUUGCACUCAUAACGACAGCGUCCAAAAGUACAUUUUACACUCUUGACCUCGGAUCAGGUAGGGAUACCCGCUGAACUUAAGCAUAUCAAUAGCGGAA